rnacentral:lncRNA from 1 species
GACGCUGGCAUCUGCUUGGCUUCUGGGGAGCCCUCGGGAAACUUACAAUCAUGGCAGAAGGUGAAGGAGAAGCAUGUCCAUUCUCCAGUAUGGUUUUGGGGGAGUAUGGCUUCCUACCUACCGCGGACCACCUGUCAACUCUGGGCUGUAACAUGAGAGAAUUGUGAACUUCUGUCUUCUUUGAGCCAUGGUUUCAUUCUCUUUUUCAGCCAUGUAGCCUGUGCUGUAACUCAGUGCCACAUUAGCAACAAGUAAAAGUCAAUGUGGGUAAAUUUGUCAUUCUUCAGGUUAGAACAUUUCUUCCUUUUAUUCUUGUGUUUUUGGCUAAAUAAA